rnacentral:rRNA from 1 species
AUUGAACGCUGGCGGCAGGCUUAACACAUGCAAGUCGAGCGGAGCGGCGGACGGGUGAGUAAUGCUUAGGCAUCUGCCUAUUACUGUGGGACAACAUCCCGAAAGGGGUGCUAAUACCUCAUACUAAUAGAUGAGUCUUAGUCGGAUUCGCUAGUUGGUGGGGUAAAGGCCUAACAAGGCGACGAUCUGUAGCGGGUCUGAGAGGAUGAUCCGCCACACUGGGACUGAGACACGGCCCAGACUCCUACGGGAGGCAGCAGUGGGGAAUAUUUGGCAAUGGGGGGAAGCCUGAUCCAGCCAUGCCGCGUGUGUGAAGAAGGCCUUAUGGUUGUAAAGCACUGUAAGCGAGGAGGCGUUACUCGCAGAAGAAGCAACGGCUAACUCUGUGCCAGCCACCGCGGUAAUAC